UACAGGGGGGGCAAGCGUUGUUCGGAAUUACUGGGCGUAAAGGGCUCGUAGGUGGCCAACUAAGUCAGACGUGAAAUCCCUCAGCUUAACUGGGGAACUGCGUCUGAUACUGGAUGGCUUGAGUUUGGGAGAGGGAUGCGGAAUUCCAGGUGUAGCGGUGAAAUGCGUAGAUAUCUGGAGGAACACCGGUGGCGAAGGCGGCAUCCUGGACCAACACUGAUACUGAGGAGCGAAAGCCAGGGGAGCAAACGGG
rnacentral:rRNA from 1 species